rnacentral:rRNA from 1 species
GAUGAACGCUAGCGGCAGGCUUAAUACAUGCAAGUCGUGGGGCAGCAGGUUUGUAGCAAUACAGAUGCUGGCGACCGGCAAACGGGUGCGGAACACGUACAGAACCUUCCUUUGAGCGGGGAAUAGCCCAGAGAAAUUUGGAUUAAUACCCCAUAGUAUAAUGAAGUGGCAUCAACUUUAUUAUUAAAGAUUUAUCACUCGAAGAUGGCUGUGCGGCUGAUUAGGUAGUUGGCGGGGUAAAGGCCCACCAAGCCUGCGAUCAGUAACUGGUGUGAGAGCACGACCAGUCACACGGGCACUGAGACA